CACGCACGCGCCUUGACAACAUUCCCUGCCGUGCGAAAAGAAGUUCUUUCUACCCUCGACGCUCGCUCCCAACCGGAAUAAAAAUUCACAGCAUAACAAUGGAAAACCUCCUUGCAGCCAGGACCCAAUGGCACUGGAGGAACAAUCUCUGAAGAUGCUAAGACAAAGUUUGUAUGGGGAAUAUGUCUGAUCUGGGGAUGUGGUGGUGCAGUGGCUUAAUGAUGCUGAAACUGCUGGCUAGAAAUGGUCUGCACUCCAGUGGUUCGAGACCAGCUCCACAAGUCAGGAAAGCAGAAGCUGGCACUGGACCUGGACAGACACAAAGCAACGUAACACGAGGAGAGUCAAGACUGGUGGAGGAGCCUGGAAGAGCCAGCAAUCUGAGCUCUGCUAAUCAUCUGAUGUAAACUAGUUUGCUCCCUUUGGUGCACCAAGGAUAGACAUCCAAGCGCUGAACAGAAUGAACUAGCAAUGAAGCCUGUCAGGACUGCAUUGUGUCUAGCAUUUGUAGAUUUCCCUGACAUUGUAUGCCAUACACUGAAUAAAUAAAUGUCUGACUUUUCUGCUAUUACUUUGCAGACAUGAAGCAUCCUACAAUUUGAUGUACUUUUAGCGCUCAGAUCAUCUAUUUAAAAUGCAUUUAAAUAAACUGCCACACAAGAGAUAACUACUAGUUAGCAGGCAG